rnacentral:rRNA from 1 species
UACAGAGGUCUCAAGCGUUGUUCGGAUUCAUUGGGCGUAAAGGGCGCGUAGGCGGUCAGCACAAGUCAGUUGUGAAAUCUCCGAGCUUAACUCGGAACGGUCAACUGAUACUGUGCGACUAGAGUGCGGAAGGGGCAACUGGAAUUCUCGGUGUAGCGGUGAAAUGCGUAGAUAUCGAGAGGAACACCUGCGGCGAAGGCGGGUUGCUGGGCCGACACUGACGCUGAUGCGCGAAAGCCAGGGGAGCGAACGGG